GUUUACUUUCACUUUCGAUUUACCACUUCCGGGUACAUCGGCAGACUUAUUUACCGUUGCGCAUAUAGGUAACCCGAAGAACUCGAGGGAUAUAGAAGUUAAAUUUGUUUCGGUCCUCUUCAGAUUUGAAGGAAUGGAUAGCACGGGUCAAAAAAUGCAGAUGUAUAGACAAGGAGGUAUAUGACAAGUAUAGAAUAUACAGUUGUUCAAUAUGGACCAUUAAUCAACUGUUUGCACUGCCUAUGAUCCUGAAAUAUCUAUACAUCAAAGAUAAAAAGGGAAAAGAUGAAGGAGGAUUUGUCCAUGAAGACCUUUAUUGCAACUACCAUCUUCCAGUUCCUUAAUUUGAGAAUGAUAUCAGAGAACACACAGUUACAGUGAAAUAUUAGUUUAAUAUAAGCCACUGAGAAUAGUCAAAUGUACCAUCCUGAAGAAGAUGAAUGACAUCCAGCACAAAAAUCUUAA